rnacentral:rRNA from 1 species
AGGGAAUAUUGGACAAUGGGCGCAAGCCUGAUCCAGCCAUGCCGCGUGAGUGAAGAAGGCCCUCGGGUUGUAAAGCUCUUUUGUCCGGAAAGAAAAGCAUCGGGUUAAUACCCCGGUGUUCUGACGGUACCGGAAGAAUAAGCACCGGCUAACUUCGUGCCAGCAGCCGCGGUAAUACGAGGGGUGCAAGCGUUACUCGGAAUUACUGGGCGUAAAGCGUGCGUAGGUGGUUCGUUAAGUCUGAUGUGAAAGCCCUGGGCUCAACCUGGGAAUGGCAUUGGAAACUGGCGGACUGGAGUGCGGUAGAGGGUAGCGGAAUUCCCGGUGUAGCAGUGAAAUGCGUAGAGAUCGGGAGGAACAUCCGUGGCGAAGGCGGCUACCUGGACCAGCACUGACACUGAGGCACGAAAGCGUGGGGAGCAAACA